rnacentral:misc_RNA from 1 species
AAGUCGUAACAAGGUUUCCGUAGGUGAACCUGCGGAAGGAUCAUUAACCUGUGAACUUUAAGUCCCCUCUUGCAGCCCAUGAGGAACAGCAAUCCCGGUAAAUCAUUGCCAAACAGUUUUGAUUCGGGACCUCUGUCCAAAAGGAGUUGCAAUCGAAGGGUGGAAGCAGUGGCAUGGCUUCCCCAAGCAGUUAGUGAAUGACAGUGUCACUGACUGUGUAAGGAUAACGCCUCACGGUUGCUAGAGGUCGAUCACCGACCGGCAGACAUGUCACAGGGUCACCACGCCCCUUAAUCACUCCACUUGAAAAUGCCCCGCCUAGUGGUAACGCGCUAGGUAAAAAAAACCGAACAACUGUUAACAAUGGAUAUCUUGGUUCUC